GCAACACUAUCGCUGGCACAAAUGCCAGCUCUGGAACCGUUCUUCUUCCCACAAAAAACGUCACUUUCGAAAGUCCAGAUAUAACAAACAGAGCGCAGACCACAGCGGCAGAGGUGGAAAACACACCAACAGCAAAGGGGCGGCAGCCACGCAGCCACAGCAGUGAUGGAGCAGAAGCUACAACAGAAGACGCAGCAAACAGCCGCAGCGACGAAAGGCACGGACCAGCCCACGACGGAAAGGACAGGCCGCGGCGGCCACAGCGGGAAGGGAACCGCCGCCCAGCAACGACUGGCCACGGCUCCCCACAAGCAGCAAGGCAAGCCAAGCCACACGAAGCAGAAAGCGGAGCCCGACGGCAAAGGCAGUGAGGUCACAGCCGCCGCGACAGCAAAAACGGCGACGGAAGCCCAACAACAGCGACGACAGCGGAAGUGCCACGACGGCAGGAAAGAAGGCCGGCAGAAACGAAGGCCGCAGCAAGGAGCCCGACAACGGAGGCAACAGACACAGCGCAGGCCACACCAGCAGAUGCCAGCAGACAACCACAAGCAGCACCCACACAGUCACGACCACAACCAAUGACGCCAGCAAAAGGGAGCGCUGUGCGGCACGGCACGACACCAGCUGGGAAGAACUGAAGGCAACAUGCAUGGGGGAAGAGUGGUUUCCAGGCAGUCACUCUCCCAGGCACCGAAAAGGCUUUGACCUACUUAGAUUCAGCAAGGUGAUUGCAUCACAUGCUCUCAGACUGUGCCCUUUAGCUAUCUUAGCUAAAGGUGGUGAAGCAACCAGUUGAGGAAAUGAGACACAUUCUGGAAAGAGAACUUGGACAUUGCUGACUCCACAACGACAGAGGAGGCACUCUGAAGUGACGGUGUCAAUAGCCUUACUCAUUUCUCCAUCCCACAGUGAGACUAGAAUCUCGCUGCCAUGUCAGCUGGGAAAUUUAAAAUACAACAAUCAAAAUGAAAGUUUUUGCGAAUUAUCAUCGACUUCUGCCUAGAAGAGAAGGCUGCCCAAAUAUUGCUACUAAUGUUGUCAGGUACACCCUAUUUGUUUAAUCUAUAUGCAGAACAUAUCAUACGGAAAGCGGGAUUGGACCAAUAUGAAUGGUGUGAAAAUUGAAGGGAGAAAUAUCAAUAAUUUAAGAUAUGCAGACGAUACCAUACUCUUAGCAGAAACCAGCCACGAUUUGAAACGAAUGCUGAUGAAAGUGAAAGAGGAAAGCACAAAAGCAGGACUACAGCUGAACGUCAAGAAGACUAAAGUAAUGACAACAGAAGAUUUAUGUAACUUUUGUUCCUCCUGAACAGCUGGAAUGGUUAUGAGUAUUCCAUCUAUCACAGCAGCUUAGCAUAUGUCUAUGGUGGCAGCAGCCAUGCUAUUUUUUUCUUUGUGCUUUGUCCCUUUAAAAAACAUCCCUACUUGAAGGGCAAAUUUGUAAACAAUAAUUUUCCCGUAUAUACUCAGCAAUCUAUACACUAUACAUAUAUUUGUACAAAUGGUAUGUAUCCUCACUGUGAAGUGAAGUUAAUAAAAUACAAAUUAACAGUA